AUAAAUGGUGCAUGGCCUAGGGAAUAUACUGCGGAUGAACAGAUCGAUCCAAUAAAACCUCUGAGUCCUUUUGUUUUCACUCGCCGAAAACUAAAUGGUAAAAAAAUACCCCGAAAUUCGAAAGCCGAUUACACAAAUUAAUUAAAUAAUACUUUGCUUAAUAGAACAAUCGUUAAUUAAAAUACUUUUCAGACAGUAUACAUAAAAGAGACAUUCUAGAAGCUUUCAAUUUAUUAAGCACUGGUUAUUAAAAGGAGCAUCUUCAGUCUAUUGGCGG